UACGUAGGGGGCAAGCGUUGUCCGGAUUUAUUGGGCGUAAAGCGCGUGUAGGCGGCUGGGUAGGUCCGCUGUGAAAACUCGAGGCUCAACCUCGAGACGUCGGCGGAAACCAUCCAGCUAGAGUCCGGAAGAGGAGAGUGGAAUUCCUGGUGUAGCGGUGAAAUGCGCAGAUAUCAGGAAGAACACCCGUGGCUAAGGCGGCUCUCUAGUACGGUACUGACGCUGAGACGCGAAAGCGUGGGGAGCGAACAGG
rnacentral:rRNA from 1 species